AUGUUGCUCAGAAAAAACAGCGUAGAGUAGUGACCUCUUCUCACAACCGUCUAUCCAUCUUCUUAGUUUAGUUUUCCUGUUGUAUGUCUAGCUAUCUGUCGCAUUAU